GGGGAUAUAGCUCAGUUGGUAGAGCUCCGCUCUUGCAG
rnacentral:tRNA from 1 species